GCAGACCUGGUGUAGUUGGUUAUCACGUCAGUCUAACACACUGAAGGUCGCCGGUUCGAGUCCGGCGGUUUGUA
rnacentral:tRNA from 1 species